GUGAAUUGCAGAUUUUCAGUGAAUCAUCGAAUCUUUGAACGCACCUUGCGCCCCUUGGUAUUCCGAGGGGCAUGCCUGUUUGAGUGUCAUU
rnacentral:rRNA from 1 species